rnacentral:rRNA from 1 species
CUGCGCGGAAGAUGUAACGGGGCUAAACCAUGCACCGAAGCUGCGGCAGCGACACUGUGUGUUGUUGGGUAGGGGAGCGUUCUGUAAGCCUGUGAAGGUGGCCUGUGAGGGUUGCUGGAGGUAUCAGAAGUGCGAAUGCUGACAUAAGUAACGAUAAAGCGGGUGAAAAGCCCGCUCGCCGGAAGACCAAGGGUUCCUGUCCAACGUUAAUCGGGGCAGGGUGAGUCGACCCCUAAGGCGAGGCCGAAAGGCGUAGUCGAUGGGAAACGGGUUAAUAUUCCCGUACUUGGUGUUACUGCGAAGGGGGGACGGAGAAGGCUAUGUUGGCCGGGCGACGGUUGUCCCGGUUUAAGCGUGUAGGUGUGUGUUCCAGGUAAAUCCGGUUCACUUUAACACUGAGGCGUGACGACGAGGCACUACGGUGCUGAAGCAACAAAUGCCCUGCUUCCAGGAAAAGCCUCUAAGCAUCAGGUAACAUCAAAUCGUACCCCAAACCGACACAGGUGGUCAGGUAGAGAAUACCAAGGCGCUUGAGAGAACUCGGGUGAAGGAACUAGGCAAAAUGGUGCCGUAACUUCGGGAGAAGGCACGCUGACACGUAGGUGAAGUGAUUUACUCACGGAGCUGAAGUCAGUCGAAGAUACCAGCUGGCUGCAACUGUUUAUUAAAAACACAGCACUGUGCAAACACGAAAGUGGACGUAUACGGUGUGACGCCUGCCCGGUGCCGGAAGGUUAAUUGAUGGGGUCAGCGCAAGCGAAGCUCCUGAUCGAAGCCCCGGUAAACGGCGGCCGUAACUAUAACGGUCCUAAGGUAGCGAAAUUCCUUGUCGGGUAAGUUCCGACCUGCACGAAUGGCGUAAUGAUGGCCAGGCUGUCUCCACCCGAGACUCAGUGAAAUUGAACUCGCUGUGAAGAUGCAGUGUACCCGCGGCAAGACGGAAAGACCCCGUGAACCUUUACUAUAGCUUGACACUGAACAUUGAGCCUUGAUGUGUAGGAUAGGUGGGAGGCUUUGAAGCGUGGACGCCAGUCUGCGUGGAGCCGACCUUGAAAUACCACCCUUUAAUGUUUGAUGUUCUAACGUGGACCCGUGAUCCGGGUUGCGGACAGUGUCUGGUGGGUAGUUUGACUGGGGCGGUCUCCUCCUAAAGAGUAACGGAGGAGCACGAAGGUUGGCUAAUCCUGGUCGGACAUCAGGAGGUUAGUGCAAUGGCAUAAGCCAGCUUGACUGCGAGCGUGACGGCGCGAGCAGGUGCGAAAGCAGGUCAUAGUGAUCCGGUGGUUCUGAAUGGAAGGGCCAUCGCUCAACGGAUAAAAGGUACUCCGGGGAUAACAGGCUGAUACCGCCCAAGAGUUCAUAUCGACGGCGGUGUUUGGCACCUCGAUGUCGGCUCAUCACAUCCUGGGGCUGAAGUAGGUCCCAAGGGUAUGGCUGUUCGCCAUUUAAAGUGGUACGCGAGCUGGGUUUAGAACGUCGUGAGACAGUUCGGUCCCUAUCUGCCGUGGGCGCUGGAGAACUGAGGGGGGCUGCUCCUAGUACGAGAGGACCGGAGUGGACGCAUCACUGGUGUUCGGGUUGUCAUGCCAAUGGCACUGCCCGGUAGCUAAAUGCGGAAGAGAUAAGUGCUGAAAGCAUCUAAGCACGAAACUUGCCCCGAG